AGCGUAGGUGGCUCUAUAAGUCAGAUGUGAAAUCCCCGGGCUCAACCUGGGAACUGCAUCUGAAACUGUAGAGCUAGAGUAUGUGAGAGGAAGGUAGAAUUCCAGGUGUAGCGGUGAAAUGCGUAGAGAUCUGGAGGAAUACCGAUGGCGAAGGCAGCCUUCUGGCAUAAUACUGACACUGAGGCUCGAAAGCGUGGGUAGCAAACA
rnacentral:rRNA from 1 species